GCCUCUAUGGCGCAGUGGAAAGCGCGUUGGACUUCUAAUCCAAAGGUCGCGGGUUCGAGUCCCGCUAGAGGUA
rnacentral:tRNA from 1 species